rnacentral:rRNA from 1 species
AAGAUUUGACCGUACUGUAAACCGACACAGGUGAUCAGGUAGAGAAUACCAAGGCGCUUGAGAGAACUUGGGUGAAGGAACUAGGCAAAAUGGCACCGUAACUUCGGGAGAAGGUGCGCCGCUGAUGGUGAAGGGCUUGCCCCGUAAGCUGUCGGCGGUCGAAGAUACCAGGUGGCUGCGACUGUUUAGCAAAAACACAGCACUGUGCAAACACGAAAGUGGACGUAUACGGUGUGACGCCUGCCCGGUGCCGGAAGGUUAAUUGAUGGGGUUAGCAUUCGUGCGAAGCUCUUGAUCGAAGCCCCGGGAAACGGCGGGCGUAACAAUAACGUCCUAAGGUAGCGAAAUUCCUUGUCGGGGAAGUUCCGACCUG